UACAGACGGAUCCCAAAUGCAAGUUGGGAGCAAUUAGAACUGUAGGCUCCCAGGCCUUAACCACUUUUCCCAGGAGUUUUUUUGUGGUGCUUUUUAGGAGCAGAAGUUUCAGGACGGGAGAAAGCCGAUGGCUUCCAGCAUUUGAGGAUUCUCCCAAUCUGAAAUACGCUUCCCCUGAAGUCUGUGAGGCGCAGCUGCUCUAACAGUGGGAAGAGACACCGACGAAGAGCUUUCUGAGAGCCGCGCUUCUAACGCUGAGGAUUCCCGCGCAGUGAGCAUUUCCCAGAGGUCGCUGGGGCACGGCUCCAUUAGGGCCGUGUCCUCUUACACGCUGCGAAACACUGAUGGGCGCCCUUCCAGCUACGUCGAUUCCCUGGUUAUGGACUACAUUUCCUCAAGAAGCCCUCAAGGCACCGCGUCCUUAAGACCGUGUUGAGUUGCAUGCUGGGAAAUCCUGGCGGCCGCUUCCAACUCUGUGGAUUCCCGGGUUACGGACUUCAUUUCCCAGAGGCCUCUGGGGCACAGUCCAAUGAAGAGCAAGCCCCAUCGCCGGCUGAGGGGCGUGCUUCAUCCUCGCGGAAUUUUUAAAAAUGGUUGCCCCCGGACCUUGUCACGACUGCGCCUGAGGCCCUGUUUCAUCUUGUCGUGUCCCGGGUGUGGUUAGGCCCCGAGCCGGGAGCUAUUUGCCUCUCAGGAGAAAGCCAGGGCGGGGUUCCGCGGGGAAUGGCGGUGAGGGAGCCACUUGGGACGAGGAGGCCCUAAAAUGAAGAAGUUUCGGCCUGAGGCUUGGGAAGGGGAAGUGCGAGAGAGAGAGAGAGAGAGAGAGAGAGAGAAGAGAGGAGUGUGUGUGUGUGUGUGUGUUGCCUGGCGGGUCCCCCCGCCGUGGCCCAGUAACUGAGUUAAGUGAAUGCGAGCGUCUCUGGGGUAACGCGAACCAGCCCCCUCUUCCCAUCGCUGUGAGGCAUGCGGGGUUAACACGGCCGGGCCCUGUACCCAUAAACUGUGACACGAUGUGUGUGGACGCCUGUGAGGGCCAUAGGGCCGGGCUGUAAGGGCACCUGUAGGGGUGACGCAGCCGGACUGUGUCUCUCUGCACCUCCACUCCGUGUGAGGUCAAUGCCGGUGGGCUCUGCGAGGGUGGCACGGCCAGGACGGGUCUCCGUGCCUCUGAAAUGUGCUUCUGCACUUCUGUCGGGUUGACAGGGACAGGCAGUGUCUGUCCGGCGUGGGCGUUUGCGGGUGUGAAAGGUGUGAAAGGGACAGCGAGUGUGCCGCUGUGACAGGUCGGGAUCGGGCCUGUGUGCUUGGACUUUGGGUGAGCACCGGUGUGUGCGACUGUGUCAUCUGUAUUUCUAGUGUCUCCGCUGCUUGCUGUGCCCUCGCCUUCCAACCAUGUGGUGCUUGCUAGAGAGCAGUGGUCCCAAAGUGACGUGAGAGCCUCAACGCUGUUGUGAAAAUGACCAGGAAGAAGAGUUCACAAGGAGCCACGAGAUGGCAAUUUUGGAGCCAGAAGAGCUCUCCAUGCAGAAACAAGAGGAAGUAACCUCAGGAAUAGAAUUCCCUUUGGGGAGGAAAGAGGCCAUCUGGCCCUCAAGAAAAGCAUCCCAGAGGAGGAAGAACUGUUAUACGUCCCAAAGCCAAGUAGCAGCCUGAUUUUCAUAUCACAGCAGGAAAGUAUGUGGCUUGACGACGUGACAAGGUUGUCAGUUUUGUGAGGCUUUCAAGAGUGGAGUUUGAGCAAACUUCUGUGUCAUCAAAGGUGUAAAUGUUUUCCAAGUAAUCAAUAAACUGAAAUCUGUUCUGUUUACUAUGUUUUCUUUGAAGCUGACAGCUUUAGGGUUUGUUUUUCCACUUGCUUUGUGUGCACUAUGAGGAGCAAUGUGGUUUGAUUUUGAAUGAAGUUCUGGAUCUAGGACAGAUGUUGGCAAAUUUUUUCCAUUAAAAGGUUCAGUAAAUAUUGUGAUUUAUGGGCUACAUAUAGUUCUUUUUAUUAAUUUAUUUAUUUGAAUUGAUGGUUUUAUUUAUUAAAAUGACAUCCUUUAUUUUUUAUUUUUAUUUGACAGAUAAAUUAUGUGCUUAUCAUGUACAACAUUAUGUUUUGAUUUAUGUAUGCCUUGUGGAGUGGUGAAAUCAAAGUAAAUAACAUAUCCUUCACCUUACUAGCUAUUAUUUUUGUGAUCAGAACAUUUAACAUCUACUCUUAGCAUUUUCAAAUAUACAUUGUUAUUCAUUGUAGUCACCAGGUUGUAAAAUAGAUAUAGAGAAUUUAUUCCUCCAUUCCAACUAAACCUUUAUAGCCGUUCAUGUCCCUGUUUCCACUCCUGUCCCAGCCUCUGGUAACCAGCAUUCCACUCUUUGUUUCUAUUACUUCAGCUUUUUGACACUCCACAAAUAGUUGAGAUAAUGCAAGUUUGCCUUUCUAUGCCUGGCUUAUUUCACUUAAUAUCAUACCCUCUAGUUUCACCCAUGUUAUCACAAAUGACUGGAUUUUCUUGUUUUCUAAGGCUGAGUAGUAUUUCAUUGUGAUGCAUACCACAUUUUCUUUAUCUAUUCCUCUACUGGUUAACACUUGGGUAUUGUGAGUGAUACUGCAGUAACUUGGAAGUAUUCCUUCCUCUAUAACUUUUGGAAGAGUUUCUGAAGUGGUAUUUUGUGACUGUUUGGUAGAAUACAGCAAUCAAGCUGUCGUCAAGUCCUGGGCUGUUCUUUGAUCAGAGAUUUUGUAUUCUUUAUUCUGUCUUUUUACUCAUUACUGAUGUGUUUGGAUUUUUCUGUUUCUUCAUGAUUCACUCUUGGUAGGUUAUGUGUUUUAAGAAUUAAUCUUCUGGGUUAUCCAAUUUUUUUGGCAUCUAAUUGUUCAUUGUAGUCUCUUGUGAUCCUUUGUAUUUCUGUGGCAUGAGUUGUAAUGUCUCCAUUUUCAUUUCUGACUUCAUUGAUUUUUGAGUUUUUCCUCUUUUUGUCCUUUGUUCUUUUUUUUUUUUUUUCCAACCCUCCCUUCCCCUGUCUUUGUUAGUCUCAUGGUUUUUCAAUCUUGUGUAUCUUUUCAAAAAAUCAACUCUUAGUUUUGUUAAUCUUCCCAUAUUGUUUCUCUGGUCUCUAUUUUUACUCUGAUCUUUAUUAUUUCCUUUCAUUAACUUAGGUUCAUUUGUUCUUUUUUGAGUUCCUUGAGAAGUAAUGUUUGUUCGAGAUCUUUCUCUUUUCUUAAUGAAAGUGUUUAUUCCUAUAAACUUCCCUCCUAGAACUGCUUUCCCUGCAUUCCUUAAGAUUUGGUAUAUUGUUUCCUUUUACAUUUAUUUCAAAAUAUUUUUAAAUUAAACUUCUAAUUUCUUCCUUGACCUAUUGGUUACUUAGUUUCAUGUCGUUUAAUUUUCAUAUAUUUGUGAAUUUACCUAACUUCCUCCUGUUGUUGAUUUCUGGCUUAAUACCACUGUGGUUGAAAAAGGUGCUUGAUAGGAUUUCAGUUGCCUUACAUUUCUUAAGACUUGUUCUUUGGCCUAAUAUGUUUAUCUGUCCUGGAGAAUGUUUUAUGUAUGCUUGAGAAGAAUAUGUAUUCUGCUAUUGUUGGAUGGGAUGCUCUGUAUAUGUCUGAUAGGUCCAUUUGGUCUAAAGUAAAAUUUAAUUCCAGUGUUUUCUUAUUGAUUUCCUGCUGAAUAAGCUUUCCUUUGUUGAAAGUAGGAUUUGAAGUUCCCUUCUAUUAUUGUAUUGCAGUCUAUUUGACCCUUCAGAUCUCUUAAUGCAUGCUUUAUAUAUUUAUAUGAUCCAGUGUUGGGUACAUACAUAUUUACAACUGAUACAUCUCCUUCAUAAAUUGAUCCCUUUAUAA